UCGAGAAUUUUUCUCAAUGGGGGAAACCCUGAAGGAGCGACGCCGCGUGGAGGAUGAAGGCUUUCGGGUUGUAAACUCCUGUCAUUUGAGAACAAGUGUAGCGAAGUAACUACUCGCUACUUGAUAGUAUCAGAAGAGGAAGAGACGGCUAACUCUGUGCCAGCAGCCGCGGUAAUACAGAGGUCUCAAGCGUUGUUCGGAUUCAUUGGGCGUAAAGGGUGCGUAGGUGGCGGGGUAAGUCAGGUGUGAAAUUUCGGAGCUUAACUCCGAAACUGCAUUUGAUACUGCCUUGCUUGAGGACUGGAGAGGAGACUGGAAUUCACGGUGUAGCAGUGAAAUGCGUAGAGAUCGUGAGGAAGACCAGUGGCGAAGGCGGGUCUCUGGACAGUUCCUGACACUGAGGCACGAAGGCCAGGGGAGCAAACGG
rnacentral:rRNA from 1 species